rfam:Myotis davidii contig226460, whole genome shotgun sequence.
UGUUCGGUUCUAUUCAGAACCAAUGAAUAUUUUAUAUUAGUUCAUCU